UGGGGAAUUUUGGACAAUGGGGGAAACCCUGAUCCAGCCAUCCCGCGUGUGCGAUGAAGGCCUUCGGGUUGUAAAGCACUUUUGGCAGGAAAGAAACGUCAUGGGUUAAUACCCCGUGAAACUGACGGUACCUGCAGAAUAAGCACCGGCUAACUACGUGCCAGCAGCCGCGGUAAUACGUAGGGUGCAAGCGUUAAUCGGAAUUACUGGGCGUAAAGCGUGCGCAGGCGGUUCGGAAAGAAAGAUGUGAAAUCCCCGAGCUCAACUUUGGAACUGCAUUUUUAACUACCGGGCUAGGGUGUGUCAGAGGGAGGUGGAAUUCCGCGUGUAGCAGUGAAAUGCGUAGAUAUGCGGAGGAACACCGAUGGCGAAGGCAGCCUCCUGGGAUAACACUGACGCUCAUGCACGAAAGCGUGGGGAGCAAACAGG
rnacentral:rRNA from 1 species